CAGAGAAAUUUGCCCCUUGGGGUAGAUCUCCCACCCUUUGUUUACAUUACCUUUGUUGCUUUGGCAGGCCCGUCCCUUGACCACCGGCUUAAGCUGGUCCGCGCCUGCCAGAGGACCCUAAACUCCUGACAUUUUUGUGUUGUCUGAGUAAUAUAAAUAAUAAGUCA
rnacentral:misc_RNA from 1 species